GUCCAAUUAGAAAGACUCUACGCUGCUUUAGAGAGCUCACCAUGGCCUGGGCUCUGCUUUUCUUUGCCCUUUUCUAUUACGGUUCAGGUAAGGAUGCAAAGUGCCCUUACAUACGCCUGAGAGACAAAACAGCAAAAUGAUCUGUAACAUGUAUUUGUUUUAGCGACAGAAUGCUCUUGUGCUAUUUGAAAGCACAGAGGAUCAAAGGUAAUGACUUUUUUCUUUCUCUUUUCUGUAAAGGGGUCAAUUCACAAGCAACAGUGACACAGCCAGCCUCCCAGUCUGUGUCCUUAGGUGAAACAACUAAACUCCCCUGCUCUAAAAGUAGUGGGAGCUGGCUCAGCUUUUACUGGUAUCAACAGAAACCUGGCCAGGCUCCUCGUUUUGUGUUCUAUGGUACCAGCACCAGGGGAGAAGGGAUCCCGGAUCGGUUCACUGCCUCUGUCUCUGGGAACAAUGGCUAUUUAACCAUCUCCAACACCCAGGCUGAAGAUGAGGCAGUUUAUUACUGUGCUGACUGGGAGUACACUGGUGGUAGCAAGUUC